rnacentral:rRNA from 1 species
UACGAACUGUGCAAACGUUAUUCGGAAUCACUGGGCUUAAAGGGUGCGUAGGCGGCUUGUUAAGCAGGGUGUGAAAGCCCUCGGCUCAACCGAGGAAUUGCGCCCUGAACUGGCGAGCUUGAGUGAGGCAGGGGUGUGUGGAACUUCCGGUGGAGCGGUGAAAUGUGUUGAUAUCGGAAGGAACGCCUGUGGCGAAAGCGACACACUGGGUCUCAACUGACGCUGAGGCACGAAAGCCAGGGGAGCGAACGGG